GCCCGUUUAGCUCACAUGGCUAGAGCGUUCGCCUUGUAAGCGAAAGGUAUUGAGUUCGAUUCUCAAAAUGGGCA